rnacentral:lncRNA from 1 species
UUCCUACGUGGUUCCUAUGACAUAGACCAACUUAGAAUUAGACUACGGGUUUCAUUCAACAUCGCAACACAACAAGCUCGGCUACAUGCUCUACUUAUUGGUCACACACAUAAACUAAUCAUGCAAUUACGUAUCACAUAAAGAAUUUGAUGUGUUUAAGCACAAGUCCAAAUCAAACAUAGGUAGAAAAUCAGUGAAAAACAAAGACAAUGCAACUUAUCAACUACGUGUAUCAAAGUCGAACUUUGGAUGAUUAACACAUGCAAUAUCAACUACUUGUAUCAACUACACAUGAUAAUGGAAUAUAGCACCGAAAAUCUUAAAGUAUUUAGACAUAAAACUCACGGCAUAAAACCUCAAAUCAUUGAUUAUAAAUUGUAAACUUUAAUUCAUAACAUGGCUCAAAAGUACUUCUAUCUCAUAGACAAGAAUCGAAACAUACUUAAGCAAAUACCUAAAGCAAACAAAAACAAGAACAAACACAUAGCAAUCCGAAAAUAGAAGAUGAAAUACACUCUCAAAAUAUCCCUACUUGUUCUAUUCUUCGAGUGCGCGGAGUCCUAGGCUACGUGCUUUGGACGAAUGCUGAAGGUGGGAUCGGAUUGUGGUGUUUGGAGGUUGAUGGAGUUUCGGCAAAGGUGAUAAGACGUAUUUGCACACGCAUCAAUUAACCCUGUCAACAAAUCAGUCGUAGUAUAAAGCAAGCAGGGAUCGUUCUAAACCGGGGAUCCAACUACAGGGUAGAUCCAUCUAAUCUAAUGUAAAUAUCGAAAUAAGCAUAUAGGUUUAAAGGUUUUGAUGAUUUUGGAAUAAACAUUGAUAAUAAAUCCUAAAUUACUUCUAUACAUAUUUACAUGUGAUCAACCAACAAUCAUGCAAACACAACCAAACAACCAUGCAAGAACAAAGAAGACAAUCUCUAAUCUCAUUUAAGUCUAUACCGUGAGCAAAUAUACAACCUAAAUUUGAUAUGCACAUAAGUUCCUACGUGGUUCCUAUGACAUAGACCAACUUAGAAUUAGA